CAUCUACAACUAUCAGAUUAGAGCCAUGAUGGAGACUAGACAUCUAUCAUUCCACUACCACUAUCAGAUUAGAGCAAUAAGGGAGGCUAGACAUCUACCACCCCACUACCACUAUCAGAUUAGAGCCAUAAAGGAGACUAGACAUCUAUCACCCCAAUACCCCUCUCAGAUUAGAGCCAUAAAGGAGGCUGCUAGACAUCUACCACCCCACUACCGCUAUCAGAUUAGAGCAAUAAGGGAGCCUAGACAUCUAUCAUUACGCUACCACUAUCAGAUUAGAGCACUAAGGGAGCCUAGACAUCUACCACCCCACUACCACUAUCAGAUUAGAGCCAUAAAGGAGGCUGGACAUCUACCACCCCACUACCACUAUCAGAUUAGAGCCAUAAAGGAGACAUCUACCACCCCACUACCACUAUCAGAUUAGAGCCAUAAAGGAGACUAGACAUCUAUCACCCCAAUACCCCUCUCAGAUUAGAGCCAUAAAGGAGGCUAGACAUCUACCACCCCACUAUCAGAUUAGAGCCAUAAGGGAGACUAGACAUCUAUUACCCCACUACCACUAUCAGAUUAGAGCAAUAAUGGAGCCUAGACAUCUGUCAUUACGCUACCACUAUCAGAUUAGAGCACUAAGGGAGCCUAGACAUCUACCACCCCACUACCAAUUUCAGAUUAGAGCCAUAAAGGAGGCUGGACAUCUACCACCCCACUACAACUAUCAGAUUAGAGCCAUAAAGGAGGCUGGACAUUUACCACCCCAAUACCACUAUUAGAUUAGAGCCAUAAAGGAGACCAGACACAUACCACUCCACUAUCAGAUUAGAGUCAUAAGGGAGACUAGACAUCUUCCACCCCACGACCACUAUCAGAUUAGAGCCAUAAAGGAGUCUAGACAUGUACCAAUAUCAGAUUAGAGCCAUAAAGGAGACUCGACAUCUACCACCCCACUCUCACUAUCAGAUGAGAGCCAUAUAGGAGACCAGACACAUACCACCCCACUAUCAGAUUAGAGCCAUAAAGGAGACUCGACAUCUACCACCUCACUACCACUAUCAGAUUAGAGUCAUAAGGGAGACUAGACAUCUACCACCCCACGACCACUAUCAGAUUAGAGCCAUAAAGGAGUCUAGACAUCUACCACUAUCAGAUUAGAGCCAUAAAGGAGACUCGACAUCUACCACCCCACUCUCACUAUCAGAUUAGAGCCAUAUAGGAGACUAGACAUUUACCACCCCAAUACCACUAUUAGAUUAGAGCCAUAAAGGAGACUAGACAUCUAUCACUCCACUAUCAGAUUAGAGCCAUAAGGGAGACUAGACAUCUAUUACCCCACUACCACUAUCAGAUUAGAGCAAUAAUGGAGCCUAGACAUGUACCCCUAUCAGAUUAGAGCCAUGAUGGAGACUAGACAUCUAUCAUUCCACUACCACUAUCAGAUUAGAGCAAUAAGGGAGCCUAGACAUCUACCACCCCACUACCACUAUCAGAUUAGAGCCAUAAAGGAGACUAGACAUCUAUCACCCCAAUACCCCUCUCAGAUUAGAGCCAUAAAGGAGGCUAGACAUCUACCACCCCACUAUCAGAUUAGAGCCAUAAGGGAGACUAGACAUCUAUUACCCCACUACCACUAUCAGAUUAGAGCAAUAA
rnacentral:lncRNA from 13 species